CCGUCCUCCCUCCCCACCGGCCCUGGGGCCCUGCCUUGCUGCCUGGACACAGCUCUGCGCUCCUGGCCCCUGCAAGGGCGGGGAGAGUGUGCCAGUGAGAGAGGCUGAGGGUGAGGAGCGCUCGCCUCAGAGCCCACUGGUGAGUGCACCACUUCCCACUCUGCGCCGGCCUCAUGCCCCUAACCCCUAUCCGCUCCAAGGCAAAGGGUCUCGAGCUGUGUCCCUGGUGACAGCGACCCCAGGAGUGACCACGACAAGAGGCCCCUGGUUCCAAGCCUCAGGUGCAGGAGGCUUCCGACUGCAGCUCCCUGUGUCUGUCACACUCACCAGACACCUCAGGCCAACUACUAAGUAUUUUUGGAUUCGCAUUUUUGCAAAAGCUUGCUCUUACUCAGAAACAUCAAAAUGUAAUUUUCUCUCAAAUGUUUUCUAGGUUUUCCUUCUCAACUGUUGAGAACUGGUUUCAAUGUUCAAUUUUCCCCCUUUAAUAUGUAAUUUUAGACCCUGGAGGAGGCAGUAUCCUAGCGAUUUAUCACAAUUAGACCUAAGCCUUUUCUAAAGAUUGAUACAAUAUCUAAAAGAGAAAGACAUCAAAAUGGAGAGAAUCAACAGAUCCCUUCAGAACACGGCUGUUCACAGGUGGAGAGAGCACACAGGACCGGGAAGAGGACGGACAGUGCAGGGUGCAGCCACCCGCUCUGUGGCCCUUUCCCCCGGCUGGGCCCUGGAAAGCGAGGACUUGCACAGUCCCAGGCUCUUGAUCCUGGAACUGAGGGCGUGAGCUGGAGCCAAGCAGUGCAACUGGGCAAGGACCCACGCUACAGCCGGCCACAGGUUCUCCCCCGGAGCGGCACAGUGCUUAGGGAAGGGGGACGCGGCUCGCUGGCUGGGAUGCUCCGCGAGCUACGAGACAUCGGCACGCUUCUACCCCAGUGGCGCGGUCCACGCUUUGGCUCUCUCCUGGGCUGGAGCCACUCAGUCAAAGUUACUUAAAAUUCAGAGAUCCUGCCAGCUAAGCAAACUUCCCACCACACGUGGCAGUGUUUCUGCGGUAUGCUCUCUCACGAUCACCGCCACAGUAAUGACAGGUUGGGGCUGCUCCGGGUCCCACUUCCAGUGUUGGCAGCCUCUGGCAGACUCGUCUGGACCAUCAAGGUGACAGUUUUCACCAUCCCAAGCUGGGAGGCUGGGCUCCUGGGCCAGUUUGGCACUGAUGGACUGGGGCAGGUAGCAUGUCUACGUGGCCCCUGUGCCUUCUGAUGCGGGAGUACAGUGCCACAUAGAGGAGCUGUACUAGGGCUGUAGCCAACCCAGCUCGCUACACUGUCAAGGCCGGCUUCUUAUUGGCUGGGACAGAGCCACUGUGAUGCCGGACUGGGCCAGGCCCGGGAGCGUACAGGGAGGACAGGUGGGUUCUGUAGGGGAGGAGGUAGUAACUAGCGACUAACAGGGUGGAGGGACUGUGGGUGUGUCUUAUUGACAUCACCCCAGGGUAUCUGAAAGCUGACAGUCACUUCUUAUAUUCUUCAGAGUCACUGAAAGGUGCCCCACAGUCUUCAUAGUGCUUAAGUACAGACAGAAUCGAGGUCACACCCCAAAUUGGGCCGGACACAGCUGGUGAGAAUCCCGUGGUUUAAGGCUUUCCCUCCGACCUCUGGUCAACCUGACCCCGAGGAGGGGGCCUGGGAGCGGCAGGGCCCUGCCUCAAGGGCUAGACCGCCAAAGCUGCCUGCUGAAAGGUGACCAACUCAUGAUGCCCUCCUUUACAUGGGGUUACAAGGUGAUGGGGCAGGGGGGCACAGAGGAAGCCCUAAGGAGCUGCAGGUAGUGCCUACAGUCUUAGAACCAACUCUUAAGGGAGAGAACCUGGGAGCAGGUGGCCAUAAGUGGGGACCAACUGAAAGAACGACACCUGAAACGCCCAGGGGCCCAGGUUUGGCCUUGGGGUCCAUAUUCCUCUUCCCAGGACUACAAGAACAGAGUAAGCCAACACCACUGACCGCCACAGACAUCUUCUCGUCGACAACCUGGCUGCGUGCCACGCCUGUGUGGGUGUCCUUUGGGGGUGUUAGGAGUGCGAGGCCACUGUGGGGCCAGGAGCCUUUUGUCCAUGGAGGAAGGGGAGUGUUGAAGUCCUCCUCCCCUCCGCCAACCCUGUUCCCUUCCUGGGAAGGAGGCGGAGGGGAGGCGGGGAAUGAGCACGGAGCGGGUGAAGGAACCAGGCUGGUAGAUGGGAGUCAGCUGGCAGGAGCAGGACAGGCUGUCGACACAGGGAGAGGGACACAGAGGCUAGAGUCCCACUACGACUACAGAACAGAACGGGGGCACUCCCUCGCUGCUGCCCCCAGCCAUCCCGGAGACAGACACGGGUCAUCUGAAGCUACUGAUGAGAACUGUCCGCUAGAGUUCUGAGCACUAAGACUGGCAAGGAGGUACUAGACAGUUGCUAUGAUGUUUCAUCCUUCAUGAUUACACCGCAGUAAGGAAGCCAGGGGACAGAACUGAAAUACACGAGACAACACGCACUUGACAGUUCAUGGCAGCAGCUCACGCAGGGCGCGCCUGCGGGUGUUUCUGGAAAGUAAGACUGCUGUCUCAUUUGCUACUUUGAUAAGGUACUUCUCAGCUGGACAGAUUUAGAUAUAAGAGACAUCUCUGUAAACACAGAAAAGGGUAUACCGGUAUGAUGAAGAUAUGCAGCUAGGUAAGGACUUCCUGAACACGGGCAAGAACUUUGGGAUCCCAAACAGAAAUCGGCCAAGUCUCUAACCCCGCGCCACACUCACAGGAGACCAGAGGAGGGGGCAGCACCGCCCCACCUGCCUCCAGCGGGCAGAGCCAGACUCCAUGGGAAGGGACUCCGUGGAGAAACGGCUAGGUGAGUGGUGCGGC